ACCAGCAUGGCAUAGUGGUUUGAGCUUUGGACUAUGACUCUGGAGACCAAGGUUCAAUUCCUUGCUCAGUCA
rnacentral:tRNA from 1 species